ACAGAGGGGGCAAGCGUUGUUCGGAAUUACUGGGCGUAAAGGGCGCGUAGGCGGCCCGCUAAGUCGAACGUGAAAUCCCCGGGCUCAACCCGGGAACUGCGUCCGAUACUGGCAGGCUUGAAUUCGGGAGAGGGAUGCGGAAUUCCAGGUGUAGCGGUGAAAUGCGUAGAUAUCUGGAGGAACACCGGUGGCGAAGGCGGCAUCCUGGACCGAGAUUGACGCUGAGGCGCGAAAGCCAGGGGAGCAAACGGGAUUAGAUACCCCGGUAGUCCUGGCCCUAAACGAUGAAUGCUUGGUGUGGCGGGUAUCGAUCCCUGCCGUGCCGAAGCUAACGCAUUAAGCAUUCCGCCUGGGGAGUACGGUCGCAAGGCUG
rnacentral:rRNA from 1 species